UAAUAUAUUUAGGUGCUCCUGUAGUGUGUGCUUAUAUGUUUGUCAGGGUUAUAUCCUCCUGUUGGAUUGAUCCCUUUAGUAUUAUGAAGUGGCCUACCUUAC